AAUAAUUAAUAAUGUAAAAUAUUUUAUUAAUUUUCUGUUGAUAUAAUUUUUUUUUAAUUUUCUGUUCAGAUAAUUUCCAAAUACAAUGUUUUAAGCAUUUCAUUUUCUUCUAUACCUUUAAUAUAUUAUAAUAUGAAUAUAAAUAAGUUUAAGCAAAUUUAAUGAUUUCAUCAAAUUAUAAUAUGGUUUUAUAUACAGUAUA
rnacentral:misc_RNA from 1 species